GUCAAUGAGCAAGAAGGAUUUUAGGUGAUGGCAAUCACAUAUAAGUGAAAACAUACAUGUAUUUGUUGUUGCCUUUGGUGUAGGCAUCACGUCAAAAUCAGCUGUUUACUUCAGGGCGAUUUGCUUGUGAAACGUAAAUAAAUUAAUUCAAGCUUCGCGUUUAAAUUGCUUUCUACUUUCGAUUGAUUUAUUAAUUUGUGGGCCUGAGUAAAUUGUUUUCAAGAUACCAGCAUUUGCGAUGCGGGUGUGUAUGUAGCGCCGGCUAGGAGGAUUCCAUACCAUAACAAUUGGCGUUAGAAACGUUCGCCAAAACUAAGCAACGAUUGUUCUCCAUACGAUUAGUAGAAGAAAAAGGGGAGAAACGUUUGCUAAUUUACCACUUAAAAAAGUUAGUUGAAAAAUACGCUGGAAAUUGUCCCAAUAUAAAAAGUCGCCAUAUUUCCCACAGUUCGUUGAAGAUUUAGUACGUAGCAUAUGUGUGAAUUUAUCUGCCACGGGCAUUAAUAUGGUGAAACUGAAUGUAGAGAAUGAAGUUUGGACACGGAAAAGUUUAAAAUGGAGAAACAAAACGCAAAAACAACAAACAAGGGCAAAAUGAAGUCUCACUGCGUGCAGACAGUAAUGUAUGUA